GGCGGCAGGCUUAACACAUGCAAGUCGAGCGGAAACGAUGAUAGCUUGCUAUCAGGCGUCGAGCGGCGGACGGGUGAGUAAUACUUAGGAAUCUACCUAGUAGUGGGGGAUAGCACGGGGAAACUCGUAUUAAUACCGCAUACGACCUACGGGAGAAAGGGGGCAGUUUACUGCUCUCUCUAUUAGAUGAGCCUAAGUCGGAUUAGCUAGAUGGUGGGGUAAAGGCCUACCAUGGCGACGAUCUGUAGCUGGUCUGAGAGGAUGAUCAGCCACACCGGGACUGAGACACGGCCCGGACCCCUACGGGAGGCAGCAGUGGGGAAUAUUGGACAAUGGGGGAAACCCUGAUCCAGCCAUGCCGCGUGUGUGAAGAAGGCCUUUUGGUUGUAAAGCACUUUAAGCAGUGAAGAAGACUCCAUGGUUAAUACCCAUGGACGAUGACAUUAGCUGCAGAAUAAGCACCGGCUAACUCUGUGCCAGCAGCCGCGGUAAUACAGAGGGUGCAAGCGUUAAUCGGAAUUACUGGGCGUAAAGGGAGCGUAGGUGGCUUUAUAAGUCAGAUGUGAAAUCCCCGGGCUUAACCUGGGAACUGCAUCUGAAACUGUAGAGCUAGAGUAUGUGAGAGGAAGGUAGAAUUCCAGGUGUAGCGGUGAAAUGCGUAGAGAUCUGGAGGAAUACCGAUGGCGAAGGCAGCCUUCUGGCAUAAUACUGACACUGAGGCUCGAAAGCGUGGGUAGCAAACAGGAUUAGAUACCCUGGUAGUCCACGCCGUAAACGAUGUCUACUAGUCGUUGGGUCCCUUGAGGACUUAGUGACGCAGCUAACGCAAUAAGUACACCGCCUGGGGAGUACGGCCGC
rnacentral:rRNA from 1 species